UAUAGCCUACGUUACAUUUAGCCUUUCAUGACACCAAAAAACAACCAUGUAAAAGAGAGAAUGAUCAUGAAAUCAAAAGGAGGUGGAGAUCUUCUCAGUGUUAUAAUUUUUUGGAAGUAGCAUUUCAUUUGUGAACGAAUCGGGUUAGACAAAUUAAAUUAAAAAUAAUCUUUAAAUCGAACAAAUGAUUUUCGCUCACUUCCACUCUGACUCGCUUAUUCUGCCUUAUAAAGUUUUUAGCAUGUUUUCUUUCUUUUUGAAUUUAUUUUCUUCAGUCUUUGGUGUGUUUUGAGUUUGACAGAGAUUUGGCGCGAUCAAAUUGGCCAUAGUACAAGAGACUUUGGACACCUCAUUGGCCGCUGGACCGGACGCCGCCAUAUUGGUCCGGGCAACUCGAAUGAAGUGGUCUACAGAAAAGCUCACUGAUUCCCUCACUAUUUUGAGGUUUUACAAAUCUUCGUAAAAUCCUAAUUAUUUCUAGAGAAAUUCACCUUUCGCAUAUUCCAGAUUUUCAAAUAGUUAUCUCGGCCAAAUAUUGCCCUAUAUCCUGACAAAACAUACAUCAACGGAAAGCUUAUGCAGCUGUUUUUCAGGUGAUUUCGGAAAAUUUACACUUACAACUUUUGUUGUCCAGGGUCACAAAUCACGCAGUGGAACCAUCACAAACCUCAAGCAAGCCUGAAGGAAGCCUGCAUGGACUGUUUUGUGCAUUUACAAGAGCCUGCACCUCUUAUGCAUAUUAUAUAAUUUUAUUAAAUUAUAUUAUUAUAUGACUGAUACUAGACCUGUUAUAUGAUUGUAGUAUUCACUACUCACUGUUUAGUAUUUUUAUUUUAUUGACUAUUAUUUUUUAUGAAAAAAAAAUGAAAUAUAUGUAUGUGUGUGUGUGUGUGUGUGUGUGUGUGUGUGUGUGUGUGUGUGUGUGUACAGACAUACAAUAUGCUAUUUUAUUCAUAGUAAUUGCAUUAAUACUAUUUUAUACUCAUACUCAAUUUAUUUUUAGGCUAUUCAUAAUAAUAAUAAUAAUAAUAUGCUAGAAUAUAACCGCCAUAUACUGUAAAUUGAAAUACAUCUAACCUUUAACCUUAUAGUACAUUUAUAUUUCAUAAAUUUCAACUGUACUGUAGUUGUGUUAUAAAUGUUUACUGCUGUCAUUUAAUUAUUUACUGGAUCCAUUAAGAAUGAUCCUAUAAAUAGGGGUUCAAACUUUGAUAUUAACGUUGCCCAUUAGAGGGAGCCAUAGGAUAAGGAUUAUU